rnacentral:rRNA from 1 species
AUACGGAGGACGCGAGCGUUAUCCGGAUUUAUUGGGUUUAAAGGGAGCGUAGGCGGGAGCUUAAGUCAGCGGUUAAAUGGUGCGGCUCAACCGUGCCCUGCCGUUGAAACUGGGUUUCUUGAGAGUGCAAGAGGCGGAUGGAAUUCAUGGUGUAGCGGUGAAAUGCUUAGAUAUCAUGAAGAACUCCGAUUGCGAAGGCAGUCCGCUGGGGCACGUCUGACGCUGAUGCUCGAAGGUGCGAGAAUCAAACAGGAUUAGAUACCCUGGUAGUCCGCACGGUAAACGAUGAUUACCCGCUGUCGGCGGCAGACAGUCGGCGGCCAAGCGAAAGCGAUAAGUAAUCCACCUGGGGAGUACGCCGGCAACGGUGAAACUCAAAUGAAUUGGCGGGG